ensembl:lncRNA
CCGGUCCGGAUCAGCGCAGGUUCGGUUCGGGUUCGGGUCUGAAGGAAGUGAUGCGGGGGAAUCGUCAACCAUGAUCAUCUACUGACCCAAAGAGCACCAGAAGCACACAAGAGAAUCUCUUCUCCUGCGCAGGGAUUCAGAACCGAUCCGGUUCGGCCGGAGGGUGGGAUUAGCUUUAGCUUUAGCUUUAGCAUGACAGCAGCGAUGCGCUGAUUCCGAUCCGUUUCAUCAUCUUUCCACAGGCUAGCGGAUGUUCCGGCCGUCUCCAUGGAGAUUCCUCAGAUGACACGUGGCUUCAGUGCUCGGGGAUUUGGGGCAUGGUGACUGCUGUCCGUCAGCCAGAGCAGCGGCGUCUAGCAGGGGCCGUCUGGACCUGAAGGAAGACCUCUGAGACGUGGACGGGACGACCAAUACG